UCCUGUGGCCUAGUUGUUAUAGCGUCUGCCUCAUAUGCGAGAGGUCGUGGGUUUGAACCCCGGUCAAGUCAA